rnacentral:rRNA from 1 species
UUAGAGUUUGAUCCAUGGCUCAGAACGAACGCUGGCGGCGUGCUUAACACAUGCAAGUCGAACGAGAAAGUCCCUUCGGGGAUGAGUACAGUGGCGCACGGGUGAGUAACACGUGAGUAAUCUGCCUUUCGGUUGGGGAUAACAUCGCGAAAGCGAUGCUAAUACCGGAUAUUAUCUUUCGUUGAUAACAGCGAACGAUAAAAGAUGGCCUCUCCAAGGAUGCUAUCGCUGAAAGAUGAGCUCGCGGACCAUUAGCUAGUUGGUAGGGUAAUGGCCUACCAAGGCAACGAUGGUUAGCCGGCCUGAGAGGGUGAUCGGCCACACUGGCACUGAGACACGGGCCAGACUCCUACGGGAGGCAGCAGUGGGGAAUAUUGCGCAAUGGGGGAAACCCUGACGCAGCAACGCCGCGUGCGGGACGAAGCCUUUCGGGGUGUAAACCGCUGUCAGGAAGAACGAAAGAGUCUUGGGUAAA